rnacentral:lncRNA from 1 species
UGCGGUGCAUGGCCCUGGGACCUCCGUCCCUCAGCUCCCCGUUCCCUCAACCUGCUGCUCAGCAUCCUACUGGUCUCGAGGCCCUGCUUGCCGUCUUAGCCAGGAUGCCCUGCCUCUAGUCCCUCCACCACACUCCCACCUACCAUCUCCCCGCAUUGUCGCCCCAUCUUAGAGCCUAGGCACUGGAGGCAGAAGUGUGAUGUUGACGCUGGUGGGGAGGCAGGGAAGUUUCCCUGCUCAGGGGCUCAUUCAGACCUCUCUUUCCUUGGGGCUUUCCUGUAGGGAGAGAAGAGCAGUCCUUGCCUCUCUCCACAGCCUCCGUCUCUCCCACUCUGAAAUGUGAAAUACCCGGUUGACUGGACCCCUGUCCACCCACCUUGGGGUCACCUGGCCCAAAGUAGGUGCUCAAAGCAUGAGAGGUGGGAUGUUGUUUUCUGUCAGAUCAGAGGGCCAUUUGCAAACAGGUUGCAGCUGGGGAAGUGGAAAGGGGACCCCCCCCCUUUGCCACAAGUCACCUGCCUUGAAGCUCCUCAGAACCGGCUGACAACUGGGGGUGGGUGGAGGCAGGGAAAGGUCGUGGCCGGGGCAGGAGGUCAAGGCCUCUUCUACCCACCCCUCUCCACCUUUCUGGCCACAACCCAGACCUGCACGCUCCCGACGGACCGAGGGACAGAGAGACAGAGCUGGCCAGCUCCCGGGGAGUCGCUGGGCCGCGCGGAACGCGCGCCUGGCAGCCGAGACCCGCGGGGAUAAGGUGCUGACGGGCGGGGCCAACGGCUCCCACCGCCACCACCCCCGCCCCCCGACGGGACACACAGACACGCACGCGGCCGGACAGACAGACGGACAGCGCCCCGGAGGGCGUGGGCCCGGCUUACCGCGGGGCGGAGGGUCCGACGAAGGUCCAGGAGGCGGCGAGCGGGCUCUACAUCCCACGGCGCGAUCGGGCGGGCGGCGUCCCGGGCGGGGAGAGGGGAGUCCCGGCGCCCCCUCCCCGCGAACUCGGCGGGCCGGCGCCGCCCCCCCUCCCCGGCUGCCGGUGGGUCUGUCCGUUGGUCUCCGGGUCUCCGCGCCUCGGGCCCGUCCCGCGCCGCUCCCCGCGGGCCGCCCAACUUUCAGCGCUGCCCCGCGCCGCGCCCCCGGCGCCGCCUGGGCGUCAGCAUCGUCGGGCCGGGCCCCGGCUCAGAGCUCGGGGGUCCGGGGGCCCAUGGCGCUCGACCGCCAGCGCUCGCGCCCCCCGCCCCCGUCGCCCCUCCGCCGCCGCCCGCCGCUGUUCUCGCGCUGUCACUCCGCACUGUCCCCCGCCCUGCGCUCCGCGCCCUGCCCCGCGGCGCUCGCCUCCGGCCCCGGCCCCGAGAACCCUGCGGCCCGCCGGCCCGGGAUCCGCCGCCACCCACCCCGGCUGCCCCCCGGGCUCUCUGUCCCUCUGCCGGUCUCCUCUGUCCCCGUGCGGGUUUCUCCGUCUCUCCCUGCGGGGUCUCUGUCUUCUCCCUGCCGCCCUCCCCUGGUGUCUCCCCUGCCUCCCUCCGCCUCUGCCCUGUCUCCCCUGCGCGUCUCUAUCUGUCCUCCUCCCGGUCUCCGUCUGUCCUUCUCUGUCUCUCUCUCCCUCCCACUCUCGGUGCGGCCCCCGCUGUCUCGGACCCAGGCCCGCGCCUCCGCCGCGUCCCCGGCUCGCCCGGGAGCCCGAGCUCCCGCCGCCCGCGGCGCGCCGAGAACUCCCAACUCGCGGCACGCCGCCCCGCUUUGCGAGACUUUCGCCCCUCCUCACACGUGACCCGCGCCCCAGUGCGGAGGCCGCGCGCCCCCCCCCCCGGCCCCCGGGCCCCGGGCGGCCCGCGGGGCCCCGCCCGGCCCCUUCCCCGCGGCCCAGCGGGUCUUCAAACCCGCUCGCGUCGGCCGGCCGCGCGGGGCAGGGCCGAGGGCUGGGGGCUGCGGGGCCCCCGCUCCUGCCCCGGAUCCUGCCCGGGUUUUCCUCCUCCCUCCAGGAGCGCUCCUCCCAGAACCCAUUCCGAAGAUCCGCUCCCGGGUUUUCUAGCCCCCAGGGGCCGGCAGGCAGCCAAGACUGGCUUUCCUUCACAUGACUCUUCCGUGUGAAUGGAUGGAUGAACUUAAGCAAUCUGAAUCCUGGGUCAGUGGCAGAUAAGUGCCCGGUCACUAUCACACCUUUCCAUGGAAAUCGGGAGGAUGCAGGUGAGGCAAAUGACCUGUGGUCUCUUCAGCUAGCCAGAGGCCUGACCUGGUGGCUGCCCUGGAAAUGUGGGGUGCGGGGGGGGCGGGGAAGAAGAGGGGCAGAGGAGGUGGGGAAUGCAGACAGAGGUGUCUGUAGAUCCAGAGCCUCUGUUCCUGUGGGAUCAGUCCUGAUGCUAGGUCCCUGGACACAAGUUUAAGGAAAAGGUAAGGGCUCAGGGACAGUGACUUCUGGGAGAUGGGAGGGGGAGGCCUGGUGCCUGUGAUGUCAUAGGGUUGAGAGGAAACAUUUGGUAAUGGUCACCUUGCUAGUCCCGGAGCUGCAGUCUGGGGACCCCCCCCCGCUUGCUCGUCUCCUGUAAGGAGGGUCUGGUGGAGGCCAAGGUUGGACUGGGAGGAGGUGGGGAGAGGCAGAAGGGACAGUUCCAGUCAGAGAGAGGUUC